rnacentral:tRNA from 1 species
GGGGUAUAGCUCAGUGGUAGAGCGCAUGCUUAACGUGCAUGAGGUCCUGGGUUCAAUUCCCAGUACUUACA